rnacentral:rRNA from 1 species
GACGGGGGCCCGCACAAGCGGAGGAACAUGUGGUUUAAUUCGAUGAUACGCGAGGAACCUUACCCGGGCUUGAACUGCCAGCGAACGAUUCAGAGAUGAUGAGGUCCUUCGGGACGCUGGUGGAGGUGCUGCAUGGUUGUCGUCAGCUCGUGCCGUGAGGUGCCGGCUUAAGUGCCAUAACGAGCGCAACCCUUUUCUUUAGUUGCCAUCAGGUAAUGCUGGGCACUCUGGAGAUACUGCCACCGUAAGGUGUGAGGAAGGUGGGGAUGACGUCAAAUCAGCACGGCCCUUACGUCCGGGGCUACACACGUGUUACAAUGGGGGGUACAGAGAGUCGGUGCAUGGCAAUGUGCAUCUAAUCCUAAAAGCCUUCCUCAGUUCGGAUUGGGGUCUGCAACCCGACCCCAUGAAGCUGGAUUCGCUAGUAAUCGCGCAUCAGCCAUGGCGCGGUGAAUACGUUCCCGGGCCUUGUACACACCGCCCGUCAAGCCAUGAAAGCCGGGGGCGCUUGAAGUCCGUGACCGCAAGGAUCGGCCUAGAGCGAAACUGGUAAUUGGGGCUAAGUAAGUAACAAGGUAGGCGUACCGAAA